UCGACGCUGGCGGCAGGCCUAUACAUGCAGUCGAGCGGUAGCACAGAGAGCUUGCUCUCGGGUGACGAGCGGCGGACGGGUGAGUAAUGUCUGGGAAACUGCCUGAUGGAGGGGGAUAACUACUGGAAACGGUAGCUAAUACCGCAUAAUGUCGCAAGACCAAAGUGGGGGACCUUCGGGCCUCAUGCCAUCAGAUGUGCCCAGAUGGGAUUAGCUAGUAGGUGGGGUAACGGCUCACCUAGGCGACGAUCCCUAGCUGGUCUGAGAGGAUGACCAGCCACACUGGAACUGAGACACGGUCCAGACUCCUACGGGAGGCAGCAGUGGGGAAUAUUGCACAAUGGGCGCAAGCCUGAUGCAGCCAUGCCGCGUGUGUGAAGAAGGCCUUCGGGUUGUAAAGCACUUUCAGCGGGGAGGAAGGCGAUAAGGUUAAUAACCUUGUCGAUUGACGUUACCCGCAGAAGAAGCACCGGCUAACUCCGUGCCAGCAGCCGCGGUAAUACGGAGGGUGCAAGCGUUAAUCGGAAUUACUGGGCGUAAAGCGCACGCAGGCGGUCUGUCAAGUCGGAUGUGAAAUCCCCGGGCUCAACCUGGGAACUGCAUUCGAAACUGGCAGGCUAGAGUCUUGUAGAGGGGGGGUAG
rnacentral:rRNA from 1 species